AGUGAACGCUGGCGGCGUGCUUAACACAUGCAAGUCGAACGGCAGCGCGGGAGCAAUCCUGGUGGCGAGUGGCGAACGGGUGAGUAAUAUAUCGGAACGUGCCCAGUCGUGGGGGAUAACGCAGCGAAAGCUGUACUAAUACCGCAUACGAUCUAAGGAUGAAAGCGGGGGAUCGCAAGACCUCGCGCGAUUGGAGCGGCCGAUAUCAGAUUAGCUAGUUGGUGGGGUAAAGGCCCACCAAGGCAACGAUCUGUAGCUGGUCUGAGAGGACGACCAGCCACACUGGAACUGAGACACGGUCCAGACUCCUACGGGAGGCAGCAGUGGGGAAUUUUGGACAAUGGGCGCAAGCCUGAUCCAGCAAUGCCGCGUGCAGGAUGAAGGCCUUCGGGUUGUAAACUGCUUUUGUACGGAACGAAACGGCCCUUUCUAAUACAGGGGGCUAAUGACGGUACCGUAAGAAUAAGCACCGGCUAACUACGUGCCAGCCGCCGCCGUAA
rnacentral:rRNA from 1 species